UCUUCUUUUCCUUCUUCAUUCCAGCCGUGCAACUCCAAGGAAAAACAAGACCAAGUUCUUCAUUUUUCCUUCAUCAAAUCUUCAUCAAACCUCUUCCAAUUCACUUCAAAUUUCACCCACACUUAGUAUAACACUUGAGGAGUAUUUUGAGCUGCAAAAGGGAGCUGAAAAGUCACGGUUUUCUGGAGCAAAGAGUGACCAAAAUUUCUGAUCUAGUCAUCCAAGAAGGUAGCAAAUCAUCCAACCCAUAGAUCAUAGUUUUUGUAAGAUAUAUUGCACAUAGAAGGUUAUAUAAUCAUGUGGGUAGUCUUGUUUAUGGUAUAAAAUGUGAAAGUGGGCUCUAUGAACUUCCACUCUUGGGUUGUUGCUGAUUUGAUGAUUGAUGGUGGAUAUAUUGUUGGUUUAGUGGUUAAAAUGAUGGAUUAAUGGUGUGUAAUUGAUAGAAACUUCAUUGGGUGCAAGAAGCAAAAGUUUUCGAUUUUGCCCCUGCCUUGUCCGACCAUUUUGUGCAUAAUUUUGAGGUUCUAAUGACUUGAUUAUGUUGUUUACAUGUUAGUGUGAGUGUGUACAAAAUUUCAUUGAAAAAUAACAUGAUUUGGUUGGUCAAAUGAGUUGAUUUCCAAAGUUAGCAAAACUAGAAAAUGAAUCCCGUAUUGCCCAGGCAGUCAUUUUGUAUCGGCCAUAACUCUUUCCUCCGAUGUCGAAAUUAAGUGCCGUUUGCGUCACUGGAAACUAGACAUUCCCAGAUUUCCAUUGGUACCAAAUUCACUUUCUGGUUCCACUUGAGUGAGCCACACCAUUCGUUUGAAAAUCACUGCCCUGUUUCGUUGCUCUCCAGGAGACAGGACAUGACUUGUAUCUUGAUGCUCAAAAACGAGCUAUUUGUGGAUAGAAUUUCAAAAUGGUUUCUUCUGAUAAAAUUCAGCUUUAUGAGAGAGCUUUCCAACGCCAUCAAUCACACUCAAUUUCAAGUUGAAUUGAGUGAGUUGUGGCCAUAUUUCGAAACUGAUGCAGUGAGUAAAAAUCCUCUUUUAACUAGUUAAAUGGCCUAGCUUGAUUUGGGACUUGUUGUUUUGGAAACUUUGAUGUCCAACAUCUGCCAAACUUUAUAUCAGAUGUUCCUUGGACUUUGUAUCGCAAAUAAACCAGAUUUGGGUUGGUUGCUUUGGAUAAAAUGUUUAAAAGGAAAGAAGAGCUAGAAGACAGUUUUACCUUGGGGGAAAUUUCUUGAACUUUGAUGGUUUAGUUAACUACCUUCUCGUGUGAAUUUUCAAAUGAAAUUUGAUAGAGGAGUGGUCCUCAUAUGGAGGUUUAAUUGUGAAAAAUUUGGUGAUAUUCUAAGACCAUUUUGAUAUGCAAAUGAUGCCCCGAAAUUGCUCUUCGAAUCUGGAAAACUUUUUCUUUUCUCUUAGCCGAUUAGCCAAUCUUGACUUGGGACUUGUCAUUCGAAAUUUUUGGUAUAAAUCACCUACCAAAUACAGCUUGGAUGUUUCUUAGACAUUAUCUACGCAAAUGAACCAUAUUUGAGAGGUUUUUAGUGGCCAAAUGUUUGAGAAAAGGAAAACAGUGGUACGAGGCAGAUUGCCUUAGAAAUUCUUGAAAACUUCAACAGUUUUGUUAAUUGACUCUUCGUGCUAGAUUUUGCUUGAAAAUUUGCAGAGGAAUAGCCCCUAUAUGGUAGUGUAAUACUGCUAAAUUUGGUGCAGUUCCAAGUCCGUUUCAAUGUUCAACGAACGUCCCAAAGUCAGUGAUUUAAAUCUGAAAAAUAGGCCAACGGUCUCAAUUUUAGCCAACUUUGAGCUGCUAUAUCUUGGCGCUCAAAACUUUGAUUCUUGUUCCGUUUGUUUUGUUUUAAACUUUGAUUGUAGCUCUAAUUGAGUUCUAAAUUUCGGAGGCUAGUUCGUAUUGUGUGAAUUUUGCUGGAUUUUCAAAGUUGGUCAAAAACCAACCCCGAAACUGUCAUAAUGGUCCCAAGCAGCAACUUUGAGUCAAUUUUUGAAUAUCUUCCGUUUGGAAUCAUGGAAAAGUAUCUUCUAGGAACUUUUAGUGCUUUUGAAGAAGUUUCCAACGGUAUCAAGCUUUCUAAUUAUGGACCUACAUAGUUCAAGAUACGAUUUUUCUAAAUUGACACCCAAAGCUGAAAUUUGUCAAUUUCUUAGAAAAUGAGAUUUUGGAAACUUGCCUUCUUUUCUCGAUACCGAUUAAGCAUCUUGAACUCGAUUUCAUGGAAACUGUUAGUCUCUCUCUUUAGACUUUAAAACUUUACUCUUGAACCUCGAUUUACGAGUAAUUGAGGUUCAUUUUCAUAAGAUUUCCUUAGAUUGCAGUAGCGUACAAUCUUCCUCGAUAAUUAGAGAUUCGUAGUGAUAUUGAGUGGUACUUGAUUAUUGUUUACUCAGGCACUCGAGGGAAUCUCCAAGAGGAACUCGGAGCGGACACCUAAACGCUUGUUUGAAAACUACUCGCUUGUUUUGACUAGGUGAGUGUUCCAUAUAGGAAUACGUAAUUGAAUAAGUCUAGGACACGCUUAUUUCAUGAUUAUUAAGUGUUAAGUACUAUGUGUUAAGUAUUUACCAUACUCAUGCCUAUUUAAGGAAUGUAUACUUGCAUUGUAUAUCUACAUGAAUUGGUUAAACGAUUAACCAUAUCAAAUGACCAUAUGAACUCGAUACAUGCUUAACUCGCUAGAUUGUUUACUUAGCCUACUUGAUUUUGAGAAAUGGAGUCGAGUGUGUACUUUAUCGCACUCGUUCUCUUUUGAGAUGAAUAACUCGUGCUUGGAAAUACUCGAAUAACAUGACUUGGUAUGCUAAGGUUGCAUACGUCGUUGGAGUGAAUCUCCUCGACUCUCACAUGGUAAAAAUGGGAUAACGGCCAAUGAUGGCCUAUUCAUAUGACAAAUGCCUGUCAAUUAACCGUCACUACUUAACCGUUAACCGUUAACCGUCAACCGUUAACCGUUAACCGUGAACCGUUUACCAACCACAUGACUACUUGAUUACUUGACUAUUUGCUCACAUGAUUUCCAAUCUACAUGACUAUUCGAUAUCCGUGAAUUACAUGCUCCCAUGAAAUCAACUUGUAUUGCUUACGUGCUUACGUGCUAAGUAUCUAAUUGAUUACUUGAUUAUCAUGAAUCACAUGUUAUAUGAAACUGUCCAUCAUUAUUAGGCGAGUGUGUACUUUAUCUCACUCGACCUACUCAAAUGAUGAAUUUUACCUUUUGUCGAAUUACUUGGUUACCUGUGCAUGUUGUAAGUUCUAAGCUGAACUUGGGCCCUGCCCUUGGUUACUGACCUACUCGAGCCAGGACUGGGCUCGGUCGGGUAGGUUGGAACCCUGAGCCACCGUUUCGGUAUACUCGAGUAUUACCACUGGAGGGAUAAGGCGAUGGCCAGACCGUACCGUGGGGAUCCGGAAGUCAUAAGGUGCAGAUGAUCGACAGAGUUCCACUGGAACACCGUAUCCUACAGUAUAUGUUUACCUGGUAUCAUGAUAAUUGUUUCAUGCUAAAAUGCCAAUAUGAAAUCCUGAGCUAUGCCUGUAAUAAGCUCCAAUCACUCGUGAACUAUAUAUGCCAAUGGUUUGAACCAUAAUAACUGUCUCAUGAUAAAUGUCUCAUACCAUGAUAAUGUCUCAAAUUACCCGUACAAUGAUUAUCACCUCAUGAUAACAUGCCAUUGUGUAACCUUGAACCAUGCAUAUGAUAUGCCCAAUCUACCUGAUUUAUUUGAACUGUUAGAGUGUCUUGGAACCUCACUGGGCUGUGUAGCUCAUCCCACGUUGUGGUUUUCUUUUACAGGGUUCGAGACCAAGGGUGCUCGUGAGUAGUACUAGAUUGCUUUCUUUUGAAGAUUUUAAGUUAUAUUAUAACGGAUGGCUAUUGUACCCUUUUCCGUUGGGUUGUAUUUAAGCUUGAAAGCUGUAUAAUUGUAAGUGUGAGAUAUUUGAAGUACUUUAAUUAUGUAUUGAAGUUACUUAAAGUAUUUCGGGUUUUUGAAUAAUGGAUUGUAGUGAGUCCUGGCGAGAGUUGGGCAGGCGUCCCGCGGAUACCCUUUGGUUUGCUUUAGGGAGAAGUGGGGGCGUCACAGUUUGGACUACAGGUCCAAAAACUUUUCUUUUAACCGGUGAAUCCAAUUCAGAUUAGAUCGCAUCUUU
rnacentral:lncRNA from 1 species